GGGGCCGUGACUCACUGGAAGAACUUCUGCUUAGCAUGCAGAAGGUCCCAGAUUCAAUUCCUGGCACCUUCA
rnacentral:tRNA from 1 species